AAGUCAGUGCACGUUAUCAUUCUUGUUAGUUCUAAGUGAAUUCCCUCGGUAUGAUAAUUUGUUCAUCAGUUUGUUCCCCGUUUCUUCUCUAGCCUGAGCCUGACACACUAUUCUAGCUAGACAUGGGUGUGGCUCGUAACACCUGAUGACCAAACGGAUCUACGACACCAUCGAAUCUCAAACUUUAACUACCAAAACUAUUGUUUUUCAUCCUCUAGUCCCUUUUAGAAUUACUAAACGUCCUUUUUUGGGCCGAGAUUUCCAGGAACGCUUUCUCGGGGUUUGUGUGCAUGUAUUUCAAACCAUACAGACCUAAAAAUUAGAAGUCAUUCCAUCUUUAUUCCCGUAGAGCCUUCCAGCAGUUCCUAAACCGCUCCAGUCGGAGCAUGUUAUCAUUCUUGUUUGUUCUGAGUGAAUUCCCUCGGUAUGAUAAUUCUAUCAUCAGUUUGUUCCCCGUUUCUUCUCUAGCCUGAGCCUGGCAAACUAUUCUAGCUAGACAUGGGUGUGGCUCGUAACACCUGAUGACCAAACGGAUCUACGACACCAUCGAAUCUCAAACUUUAACUACCAAAACUAUUGUUUUUCAUUCUAUAGUCCCUUCUAGAAUUUCUAAACGUCCUUUUUUGGGCCGAGAUUUCCAGGAAUGCUUUCUCGGGGUUUGUGUGCAAGUAUUUCAAAUCAUACGGACCUAAAAAUUAGAAGUCAUUCCAUCUUUAUUCCCCUAGAGCCUUCCAGUAGUUCCUAAACCGCUCCAGUCGGAGCACGUUAUCAUUCUUGUUAGUUCAUAGUGAAUUCCCUCGGUAUGAUAAUUCUUUCAUCAGUUUGUUCCCCGUUUCUUCUCUAGCCUGAGCCUGGCACAGUAUUCUAGCUAGACAUGGGUGUGGUCGUAACACCUGAUGACUAAAUGGAUCGACGGCACCAUCGAAUCUCAAACUUUAACUGCCAAAACUAUUGUUUUUCAUCCUGUAAUCCCAUUUAGAAUUACUAAACGUCCUUUUUUGGGCCGAGAUUUAGAGGAACGCUUUGUUGGGGUUUGUGUGCAAGUAUUUCAAACCAUACGGACCUAAAAAUUAGAACUCAUUCCAUAUUUAUUCCCCUUGAGCCUUCCAGCAGUUCCUAAACCGCUCUAGUCGGAGCACGUUAUCAUUCUUGUUAGUUCUAAGAGAAUUCCCUCGGUAUGAUAAUUCUUUUAUCAGUUUGUUCCCCGUUUCUUCUCUAGACUGGGCCCGACACACUAUUCUAGCUAGACAUGGGUGUGGCUCGUAACACCUGAUGACCAAACGGAUCUACGGCACCAUCGAAUCUCAAACUUCAACUGCCAAAACUAUUGUUUUUCAUCCUGUAGUCCCUUUUAGAAUUACUAAACGUCCUUUUUUGGGCCGAGAUUUCCAGGAACGCUUUCUCGGGGUUUGUGUGCAAGUAUUUCAAACCAUACGGACCUAAAAAUUAGAAGUCAUUCCAUCUUUAUUCCCGUAGAGCCAUCCAGCAGUUCCUAAACCGCUCCAGUCGGAGCACGUUAUCAUUCUUGUUAGUUCUGAGUGAAUUCCCUCGGUAUGAUAAUUCUUUCAUCAGUUUGUUCCCCGUUUCUUCUCUAGCCUGAGCCUGACAAACUAUUAUAGCUAGACAUGGGUGUGGCUCGUAACACCUGAUGACCAAACGGAUCUAUGGCACCAUCGAAUCUCAAACUUUAACUGCCAAAACUAUUGUUUUUCAUCCUGUAGUCCCUUUUAGAAUUACUAAACGCCCUUCUUUGGGACGAGAUUUCCAGGAACGCUUUCUCGGGGUUUGUGUGAAAGUAAUUCAAACCAUACGGACCUAAAAAUUAGAAGUCAUUCCAUCUUUAUUCCCGUGGAGCCUUCCAGUAGUUCCUAAACCGCUCCAGUCGGAGCACGUUAUCAUUCUUGUUAGUUCUGAGUGAAUUCCCUCGGUAUGAUAAUUCUUUCAUCAGUUUGUUCCCUGUUUCUUCUCUAGCCUGAGCCUGGCACACUAUUCUAGCUAGACAUGGGUGUGGCUCGUAACACCUGAUGACUAAACUGAUCAAUGACACCAUCGAAUCUCAAACUUUAACUGCCAAAACUAUUGUUUUUCAUCCUGUAGUCCCAUUUAGAAUUACUAAACGUCCUUUUUUGGGCCGAGAUUUCCAGGAACGCUUACUCGGGGUUUGUGUGCAAGUAUUUCAAACCAUACUGACCUAAAAAUUAGAAGUCAAUCCAUCUUUAUUCCCCUAGAGCCUUCCAGCAGUUCCUAAACCGCUCCAGUCGGAGCACGUUAUCAUUCUUGUUAGUUCUGAGUGAAUUCCCUCGGUAUGAUAAUUCUUUCAUCAGUUUGUUCCUUGUUUCUUCUCUAGCCUGAACCUGACACACUAUUCUAGCUAGACAUGGGUGUGGCUCGUAACACCUGAUGACCAAACGGAUCUACGGCACCAUCGAAUCUCAAACUUUAACUGCCAAAACUAUUAUUUUUAAUCCUCUAGUCCCAUUUAGAAUUACUAAACGUCCUUUUUUGGGCCGAGAUUUAGAGGAACGCUUUCAUGCGGUUUGUGUGCAAGUAUUUCAAACCAUACGGACCUAAAAAUUAGAAGUCAUUCCAUCUUUAUUCCCCUAGAGCCUUCCAGCAGUUCCUAAACCGCUCCAGUCGGAGCAUGUUAUCAUUCUUGUUAGUUCUGAGUGAAUUCCCUCGGUAUGAUAAUUCUUUCAUCAGUUUGUGGCCCGUUUCUUCUCUAGCCUGAGCCUGACACACUAUUCUAGCUAGACGUGGGUGUGGCUCGUAACACCUGAUGACCAAACGGAUCUACGGCACCAUCGAAUCUCAAACUUUAAGUGCCAAAACUAUUAUUUUUAAUCCUGUAGUCCCAUUUAGAAUUAC
rnacentral:lncRNA from 1 species